GUGAGUAACCUGCCCCUGACUCUGGGAUAAGCGUUGGAAACGACGUCUAAUACUGGAUAUGACCGCCGAUCGCAUGGUCUGGUGGUGGAAAGAUUUUUUGGUUGGGGAUGGACUCGCGGCCUAUCAGCUUGUUGGUGAGGUAAUGGCUCACCAAGGCGACGACGGGUAGCCGGCCUGAGAGGGUGACCGGCCACACUGGGACUGAGACACGGCCCAGACUCCUACGGGAGGCAGCAGUGGGGAAUAUUGCACAAUGGGCGAAAGCCUGAUGCAGCAACGCCGCGUGAGGGAUGACGGCCUUCGGGUUGUAAACCUCUUUUAGUAGGGAAGAAGCGAAAGUGACGGUACCUGCAGAAAAAGCACCGGCUAACUACGUGCCAGCAGCCGCGGUAAUACGUAGGGUGCAAGCGUUGUCCGGAAUUAUUGGGCGUAAAGAGCUCGUAGGCGGUUUGUCGCGUCUGCUGUGAAAUCCCGAGGCUCAACCUCGGGCUUGCAGUGGGUACGGGCAGACUAGAGUGCGGUAGGGGAGAUUGGAAUUCCUGGUGUAGCGGUGGAAUGCGCAGAUAUCAGGAGGAACACCGAUGGCGAAGGCAGAUCUCUGGGCCGUAACUGACGCUGAGGAGCGAAAGCGUGGGGAGCGAACAGGAUUAGAUACCCUGGUAGUCCACGCCGUAAACGUUGGGCGCUAGAUGUAGGGACCUUUCCACGGUUUCUGUGUCGUAGCUAACGCAUUAAGCGCCCCGCCUGGGGAGUACGGCCGCAAGGCUAAAACUCAAAGGAAUUGACGGGGGCCCGCACAAGCGGCGGAGCAUGCGGAUUAAUUCGAUGCAACGCGAAGAACCUUACCAAGGCUUGACAUACACCGGAAACGGCCAGAGAUGGUCGCCCCCUUGUGGUCGGUGUACAGGUGGUGCAUGGUUGUCGUCAGCUCGUGUCGUGAGAUGUUGGGUUAAGUCCCGCAACGAGCGCAACCCUCGUUCUAUGUUGCCAGCGCGUUAUGGCGGGGACUCAUAGGAGACUGCCGGGGUCAACUCGGAGGAAGGUGGGGAUGACGUCAAAUCAUCAUGCCCCUUAUGUCUUGGGCUUCACGCAUGCUACAAUGGCCGGUACAAAGGGCUGCGAUACCGUAAGGUGGAGCGAAUCCCAAAAAGCCGGUCUCAGUUCGGAUUGAGGUCUGCAACUCGACCUCAUGAAGUCGGAGUCGCUAGUAAUCGCAGAUCAGCAACGCUGCGG
rnacentral:rRNA from 1 species